rnacentral:piRNA from 1 species
GCAGAACAGGGUGGGGAGCCGCAAG